AAUCUCCCAGCUCCCAAAAGAAUGAUUACAUUCAUCUGACAAUUAGUAAGGGUGGUAUUAUGUUGAGAGAAUAGCUUGUGGAUUGUCUAAAAGGCUCAUACUGGAUUCUCUGAAGGAGUUCAUUCACCAUGGGGAGAAAGGAUGGGGACAUGCCAGACUCUCUACCAACCAUCCCUGAGGAGGUAUUUGCAAAAGGCUACCCCAACCUGGCCUUCCAUGAGGAUAAGAAGCCUCAGGAGCCGAUGACAGAGGGGCAGCCAACCGUUGACACGGAGCGCAAGCCAAAGAAGGGCUUCGGG